AGAGUUUGAUCCUGGCUCAGGAUGAACGCUAGCGGCAGGCCUAACACAUGCAAGUCGAACGGUAACAGGAGAGCUUGCUCUCGCUGACGAGUGGCGCACGGGAGCGUAACACGUAUACAACUUACCUUUAACUGGGGCAUAGCCCGAAGAAAUUCGGAUUAAUACCCCAUAAUAUUAUGGAAUGGCAUCAUUUUAUAAUUAAAGCUUUGGCGGUUAAAGAUGGGUAUGCGGCCUAUUAGUUUGUUGGUGAGGUAACGGCUCACCAAGACUACGAUAGGUAGGGGUUCUGAGAGGAAGAUCCCCCACACUGGUACUGAGACACGGACCAGACUCCUACGGGAGGCAGCAGUGAGGAAUAUUGGACAAUGGACGAAAGUCUGAUCCAGCCAUGCCGCGUGCAGGAAGAAUGCCCUCUGGGUUGUAAACUGCUUUUGUAUGGGAAUAAACCCCCGGACGUGUCCGGGGCUGAAUGUACCAUAAGAAUAAGCACCGGCUAACUCCGUGCCAGCAGCCGCGGUAAUACGGAGGGUGCAAGCGUUAUCCGGAUUUAUUGGGUUUAAAGGGUCCGUAGAGUGGAAUUGUAAGUCAGUGGUGAAAUCUUUCAGCUUAACUGGAAAAUUGCCAUUGAUACUGCAGUUCUUGAGUAUGUUUAGAAGU
rnacentral:rRNA from 1 species